rnacentral:lncRNA from 1 species
AAACCCGAAAAGGGCGGCUCAAAUAUUGAUCAGAAUAGGGCAUGAGGUGAUCAGAGCAGUUCAAAUUUUGAUCAGAUUGGGGCAUAUGAUGAUCUUGAAUCAAUAGAAAAGGGUAGACAACAUAUUGGGACAUCGGCAAAGUACUGUAGAUCUCCUAAACACAUGUCAAACUCAGAAAGUUUGUAUAGAGAAGUUCAAGCUGCGAUAUCUGGGGCAUCCAAUUUUUAUAUUGAAUUUGUUAUUCUUGGAAUACUUCAUUCUUUUCCAAGAAACACAUUCCCACUCAAUUUAUUUUCUAUCC